CCUACGGGUGGCAGCAGUGGGGAAUAUUGGACAAUGGGGGAAACCCUGAUCCAGCGACGCCGCGUGAGUGAAGAAGUAUUUCGGUACGUAAAGCUCUAUCAGCAGGAAAGAAAAGGACGGUACCUGACUAAGAAGCCCCGGCUAACUACGGGCCAGCAGCCGCGGUAAUACGUAGGGGGCAAGCGUUCACCGGAUUUACUGGGGGUAAAGGGAGCGUAGACGGCAGGGCAAGUCUGGAGUGAAAUGCCGGGGCUCAACCCCGGAACUGCUCUGGAUACUGUGAAGCUGGAGUGCAGGAGAGGUAGGCGGAAUUCCUGGUGUAGCGGUGAAAUGCGUAGAUAUCAGGAGGAACACCGGCGGCGAAGGCGGCUUACUGGACUGUAACUGACGUUGAGGCUCGAAGGCGUGGGGAGCAAACAGGAUUAGAUACCCCUGUAGUC
rnacentral:rRNA from 1 species